GGUUAAAAAGCUCGUAGUUGGAUCUCGGCGGUCUGAGGGCGGUUCGCUUGAUUGAGUGCUACUGCUCUAUAGGCCGUGGUUUUGCCAGAGGUCUCGGGGUGCUCUUAACCGAGUGUCCUGCGAUGCUGGCAAGUUUACUUUGAAAAAAUUAGAGUGCUCAAAGCAGGCUUUUACGCCUGAAUAUUCGUGCAUGGAAUAAUAGAAUAGGAAGUCGUUUCUAUUUUGUUGGUUUUCGGAAAUCGACUUAAUGAUUAAUAGGGACAGUCGGGGGCAUUUGUAUUCAAACGACAGAGGUGAAAUUCUUGGACCGUUUGAAGACAAACUACUGCGA
rnacentral:rRNA from 1 species